rnacentral:tRNA from 1 species
UUAAAGGUAAGCUAAUUUUGAAGCUGUUGGGUUCAUACCUCGAAAAUGAAUAUUCCCUUUAAU